rnacentral:SRP_RNA from 1 species
GCCGGGGAGUUAGCGGUGCCCUGUACCUGCAAUCCGCUAUAGCAGGGGUGUUGGUUGGCCUAGGAUCGUUUCUCGUAGGGCUGCCCUCGAAAAGUGAUGUUGAUAUCUGGGUCUUGCGCGACAGGAAUCUGUGAACCGUGUCAGGUUGGGAACAAAGCAGCACUAAGCAGAACCUCUCUGUGUGCCGCGAGGUAGCCUGGGUUGAGUUAACUAUCUUGGUA